ACUCUGGCAAAUCCGGGUGGCAAUGGGAAGCCGUGAUGCGGAGUGAAAUAAAGUAACGAAGUCCGUGAGCCAUGCGUCAAGAAAAGCCGCUAUUGUUUAUACCGUACCCGUACCGUAAACCGACACAGGUGGAUGAGGAGAGAAUCCUAAGGCCGGCGGAAGAAGCAUUGUCAAGGAACUCGGCAAAAUGGCCCCGUAACUUAGGGAUAAGGGGUGCCUGGGAAACCAGGCCGCAGAGAAUAGGCUCAAGCAACUGUUUAGCAAAAACACAGGUCUAUGCGAAACCGAAAGGUGAGGUAUAUGGGCUGACGCCUGCCCGGUGCUGGAAGGUUAAGAGGAGAGGUUAGCGCAAGCGAAGCUUUGAAUUUAAGCCCCAGUAAACGGCGGCCGUAACCAUAACGGUCCUAAGGUAGCGAAAUUCCUUGUCGGGUAAGUUCCGACCCGCACGAAAGGCGUAAUGAUUUGAGCGCUGUCUCGACAAUGCAUCCGGUGAAAUUGAAGUACCAGUGAAGAUGCUGGUUACCUGCGCCAGGACGGAAAGACCCCAUGGAGCUUUACUCCAGUUUGGUACUGGGACUCGGUAUUGCAUGUACAGGAUAGGAGGGAGGCUGAGAGACAGUAACGCCAGUUAUUGUGGAGCCGCUGUUGGGAUACCACCCUUGCAGUAUUGGGUUUCUAACCAGCCGCCGUGACCCGGCGGUGGGACAAUGCCAGACGGGGAGUUUGACUGGGGCGGUCGCCUCCGAAAGGGUAUCGGAGGCGCCCAAAGGUUCCCUCAGAAUGGACGGAAACCAUUCGAAGAGUGCAAAGGCAGAAGGGAGCUUGACUGCGACACCGACGGGUGGAGCAGGUACGAAAGUAGGGCUUAGUGAUCCGGUGGUAUUAAGUGGGAAUGCCAUCGCUCAACGGAUAAAAGCUACCCUGGGAUAACAGGCUUAUCACUCCCAAGAGUUCACAUCGACGGAGUGGUUUGGCACCUCGAUGUCGGCUCAUCGCAUCCUGGGGCUGUAGUAGGUCCCAAGGGUUGGGCUGUUCGCCCAUUAAAGCGGUACGCGAGCUGGGUUCAGAACGUCGUGAGACAGUUCGGUCCCUAUCCGGCGUGGGCGUAGGAUAUCUGAGAGGAGCUGACCUUAGUACGAGAGGACCGGGAUGGACGGGCCGCUGGUGCAUCGGUUAGACUGCCAAGUCUACGGCCGAGUAGCCAAGCCCGGAAGGGAUAAACGCUGAAGGCAUCUAAGCGUGAAGCCCCCCUUAAGAUGAGAUAUCCCAUUCGAAAGAAGUAAACCCCCUUGAAGACGACGAGGUAGAUAGGGCAGAGGUGGAAGUGUGGCAACACAUGGAGCUGACUGUUACUAAUCGGGUGAGGGCUUGACCU
rnacentral:rRNA from 1 species